rnacentral:lncRNA from 1 species
ACAGAUUCUCACCCUGCUUCAGCAUUCGCCCCCACCUCCGUGAGUCCCUGCUUGGAUAGCGUUCCCCCGAGUGGCCCGGCCUCAGCAGGGCCUGCACCACCAAACUGGACAGCCAUGGGUGUGUAACCUCUUUUUGGGCCUGAGAAACAGACCUUUCUCUCCACUCAGAGCUCCGGCUUCAGCUAUUGUGCUUCCGAAUGCCACUACCAUCAGAUAUGCCAUCUACAGAACUUAACACCUGAGCACCCACCCUUCAGGGCCACCCAUGGGCCCAAAACGGGAUAAAGGAGCCAUUCCCUGACAUAGGAGGAAAACAUUUGCUGAGAAGCUACUGUGUGCCAGACACAAUCUUGGACUUUCACUUAAUCCUCAAAACAGCCCUAGGAAGAAGUACCUACCGUUAACAGAUAAGAAAGCUGAGACCCACGGUUUACACAGCUAAGGAGAGCAAAGGUUUUAACCCAGGACUGUCCUGACUCCACAACAUCAAAGUUGUUGUUUUGUUUUUGGUGUUUUGUAGAAACAGGAUCUCCCUAUUAUUACCCAGGCUGGUCUCAAACUCCUGGG